rnacentral:rRNA from 1 species
AGAGUUUGAUCAUGGCUCAGAACGAACGCUGGCGGCGUGGAUAAGACAUGCAAGUCGAACGAGAAACUUUUGGAGCUUGCUUUGAGAGUUUCUAGUGGCGAACGGGUGCGUAACACGUGAGCAACCUACCCUAAAGUGGGGGAUAGCCUUCCGAAAGGAAGAUUAAUACCGCAUGUGGCCUUCGGGUCAAAGAUGGCUUCGUGUCGCUACAGGAUGGGCUCGCGGCCUAUCAGCUUGUUGGUGAGGUAAAGGCUCACCAAGGCGACGACGGGUAACUGGUCUGAGAGGACGACCAGUCACACUGGAACUGAGACACGGUCCAGACACCUACGGGUGGCAGCAGUCGAGAAUCAUUCACAAUGGGGGAAACCCUGAUGGUGCAACGCCGCGUGGAGGAUGAAGGCCCUCGGGUCGUAAACUCCUGUCAUCAGAGAGUAAGGUAUCUGGGAGGUAAUGCCUGGAUGCCUGAUAGUACCCGAAGAGGAAGAGACGGCUAACUCUGUGCCAGCAGCCGCGGUAAUACAGAGGUCUCAAGCGUUGUUCGGAAUCACUGGGCGUAAAGCGUACGUAGGCGGCGAGGUAAGUCAGAUGUGAAAUCUCCGGGCUCAACCCGGAAACUGCAUCCGAUACUGCCGCGCUAGAGUAGUGGAGGGGCAUCUGGAAUUCACGGUGUAGCAGUGAAAUGCGUAGAUAUCGUGAGGAACACUAGUGGCGAAGGCGAGACACUGGACACUAACUGACGCUGAGGCUCGAAGGCUAGGGUAGCGAAAGGGAUUAGAUACCCCUGUAGUCCUAGCAGUAAACGGUGCGCGUUUGGUGUGGGCGGGUUCGACCCCGUCCGUGCCGGAGCUAACGCGUUAAACGCGCCGCCUGGGGAGUACGGCCGCAAGGCUAAAACUCAAAGAAAUUGACGGGGACCCGCACAAGCGGUGGAGUAUGUGGCUUAAUUCGAUGCAACGCGAAGAACCUUACCUAGGCUUGACAUGCUUAUCGUAUCCCUAUGAAAGUAGGGAGUCAGUUCGGCUGGAUAUGCACAGGUGCUGCAUGGCUGUCGUCAGCUCGUGUCGUGAGAUGUUGGGUUAAGUCCCGCAACGAGCGCAACCCUUGUGUCCUGUUGCCAGCGAGUAAUGUCGGGGACUCUGGACAGACUGCCGGUGCUUAAACCGGAGGAAGGUGGGGAUGACGUCAAGUCAGUAUGGCCCUUAUGCCUAGGCUGCACACGUACUACAAUGCUCAGUACAAUGUGAACCGAUACCGCGAGGUGGAGGAAAUCUUGAAAACUGAGCUCAGUUCGGAUUGGAGGCUGCAACUCGCCUCCAUGAAGUCGGAAUCGCUAGUAAUGCCGUAUCAGCUACGACGGCGUGAAUACGUUCCCGGGUCUUGUACACACCGCCCGUCACAUCAUGGAAGCCGCUCACACCCGAAGUGCCUACAAUAAGAAG